AGCAGCCGCGGUAAUUCCAGCUCCAAUAGCGUAUAUUAAAGUUGUUGCAGUUAAAAAGCUCGUAGUUGAAUUUUGGGUCUGGCCGGGCGGUCCGCCCUCUGGGUGAGCACUGUUCCGACGCCGGGCCUAUCCUUCUGGUGAGUCGGCAUGUCCUUUAUUGGGUGUGCCGGGGAACCAGGACCAUUACCUUGAAAAAAUUAGAGUGUUCAAAGCAGGCGUAUGCUCGGAUACAUUAGCAUGGAAUAAUGAAAUAGGACGCGUGGUGCUAUUUUGUUGGUUUCUAGAACCGCCGUAAUGAUUAAUAGGGAUAGUUGGGGGCAUUAGUAUUCAAUUGUCAGAGGUGAAAUUCUUGGAUUUAUUGAAGACUAACUUCUGCGAAAGCAUUUGCCAAGGAUGUUUUCAUUAAUCAAGAACGAAAGUUAGGGGAUCGAAGACGAUCAGAUACCGUCGUAGUCUUAACCAUAAG
rnacentral:misc_RNA from 2 species